CAUGGAAGCAGAUUCCCUUCGUCUUUGUUUGUGUUUGUGUUUUGUUUCAUUUUUUUUUUGAGACAGGGUCUCACUGUGUUGCUCAGGCUGGAGUGCAGUGGUGUGCACCGCCAUGCCUGGCUAAUUUUUGUAUUUUUGGUAGAGACGGGGUUCCACCACAUCAUCUUUGUUAGAAGCCACCUAACAUGGUAAUGAGCUCC
rnacentral:lncRNA from 1 species